GCUAGAGGAAAGUCCCCGGAUGAAUCGGUAGAGAUACCGCUCAUACAGGAGUUAUCAAUUGGUUCAAAUUUGAGGAAUAGAUUCGCCUCGAGCGAUGAUCCGCUUGAGAGUUUGGCCGGCUGUCAUCAUCUUACCACAUUAACGCGCUGGUACACCGAAGCUUACCGUGCUUGGAAGAGCAUUCUUCCGGGUGGUCAAUGACUAGAUGAGUCCCUCAGUGGGCACAUCCGCCUCAGCUUGUGCCGAGAACAGAAUGGGGCUUACCCUC
rnacentral:RNase_MRP_RNA from 1 species